GGGCGUGGCCAAGUGGUAAGGCAGCGGGUUUUGGUCCCGUUAUUCGGAGGUUCGAAUCC
rnacentral:tRNA from 1 species